rnacentral:rRNA from 1 species
UCAGGAUGAACGCUGGCGGCGUGCCUAACACAUGCAAGUCGAACGAAGCAUAUCUGACGGAGAUUCGUCGAAGCCGGAUAUGACUUAGUGGCGGACGGGUGAGUAAUGUAUGAGCAACCUGCCUUUCAGAGGGGGACAACAGUUGGAAACGACUGCUAAUACCGCAUAAUGUAUUUUGGUGGCAUCACCGGGAUACCAAAGGAGCAAUCCGCUGAAAGAUGGGCUCAUAUCUGAUUAGCUAGUUGGCGGGGUAACGGCCCACCAAGGCGACGAUCAGUAGCCGGACUGAGAGGUUGAACGGCCACAUUGGGACUGAGAUACGGCCCAGACUCCUACGGGAGGCAGCAGUGGGGAAUAUUGGGCAAUGGGCGAAAGCCUGAACCCCAGCAACGCCGCGUGAAGGAAGAAGGUCUUCGGAUUGUAAACUUCUUUUAUGAGGGACGAAGGACGUGACGGUACCUCAUGAAUAAGCCACGGCUAACUACGUGCCAGCAGCAGC